CACACACACACACACACACACACACACACACACACACACACACACAGAAAUUCUGAAACAUGAAAAAUGACUGGAUUCUGGAUUUUAAUUUUGAUCGUCAGCACCAUGUUAGAACCUGGUGGACGCUGUGUUUCUGCACAAUCUCUCAGAGCCACCAGUUUAUCAGCCUGAUAAAGAGCUCAGUGUGGAUAUCGGAGACUCGGCGACUCUGCGCUGUUGUGUUUCUGAAAAUACAGUUGGCAUGAUGGCCUUGUUUAAGCAACCACACAGAGCACAACCACAGAUAAUACUCAAAGUCUUCAGAAAUGCUGGACGAAAAUUUUCUGUUGAAUUCCAGAAUGGAAGUUUCCAGACAAAAACACAUUUAAACUGCUUUAAUGUGACCAUUUCAAACAUAACUCAGUCUGAUGAAGCCAUGUACUACUGUGCGCUGAUAUCUCCUGACUUAGUGUUUGCAGAUGGGACGUUUUAAAGAUUAAAGGUGUUACAGUUACCACUGAAUCGGGAAUAUCUAAACCAGGGGUGUGUAAACCAAAACUGCAUGGAAACACCAGUAACAUCAACACACAAGUGAAAACAGUGCUCGGUUUGGGAACGGCUUUGGGUUUGUGCGUGCUUCU